rnacentral:rRNA from 1 species
UAUGUAAUGUGCCAGCAGCCGCGGUAAUACGUAGGGGGCAAGCGUUAUCCGGAUUUACUGGGUGUAAAGGGAGCGUAGACGGAUUAGCAAGUCUGAUGUGAAAGGCAGGGGCUCAACCCCUGGACUGCAUUGGAAACUGCCAGUCUUGAGUGCCGGAGAGGUAAGCGGAAUUCCUAGUGUAGCGGUGAAAUGCGUAGAUAUUAGGAGGAACACCAGUGGCGAAGGCGGCUUACUGGACGGCAACUGACGUUGAGGCUCGAAAGCGUGGGGAGCAAACAGG